UAGUGUGAUAGCGUUGCAUUUCUUUCUUCCUAGAUCCCUCGGUGCUCAAUGGUAUGCUGGUGCUGCUUUCAGAUCCAACGACAGACGAAGAACUGAUGAUGAGAAUUGUGCUGAUGACUAGUUUUUCUUACAGAAAAAUAAUGAACACAUAUACGUCUAGCCAUAUUGGUGCUAUAUAAUAGAUCAUUUCUAUGUGUUUUGUACUUUGAUUUUAUACCAUAGUUUGUUGUCUAUAUAUGCUACCAAUUUCGCCAUACCUUAAUUUUUUUCUGUCCUCCGCCACUGUCU
rnacentral:lncRNA from 1 species